UACAGAGGUCCCGAGCGUUGUUCGGAUUCACUGGGCGUAAAGGGUGCGUAGGCGGCUUUGCAAGUCUGAUGUGAAAUCUCUGGGCUUAACCCGGAAAUGGCAUUAGAAACUGUGAGGCUUGAGGCUUGGAGGGGGAACUGGAAUUCUCGGUGUAGCAGUGAAAUGCGUAGAGAUCGAGAGGAACACCAGUGGCGAAGGCGAGUUCCUGGACAAGUCCUGACACUGAGGCACGAAGGCCGGGGGAGCAAACAGG
rnacentral:rRNA from 1 species